CAUUAGCGUAUAUUAAUGCUGUUGCAGUUAAAAAGCUCGUAGUUGAAUGUUGGAGUGGCUAGGGCUUGGUCCGCCUCGAAGGCGAGUACCGGCACUAGCGCUCUAUAUUUGGUAACAAUGUACACCGGUGCUUAACUGUGCCGGUUGUUCCAGGAAGGGGUGACCUGACUUGGAGGUGGGGGGUGUCGCAGGGCGGUGCGGGGAGACCCGUGCCGUCUGUGCGGCGUCUUUUGCAACAUUUUACCUAUUUUACUUUGAAAAAAUUAGAGUGUUCAAAGCAGCCCUUAGGGGCAUUGAAUAGUAAAGCAUGGGAUAAUAGAAGAAGACAGCCGUCUUAUUUUGUUGGUUUUUUGAGACGAUUGUAAUGAUUAAAGGGGACUGUUGGGGUGGUUUGUAUUGUGGUGUCAGCGGUGAAAUGCUAAGAUUGCCAUAAGACAAACUUCUGCGAAAGCAUUCCACUAGGAAGUUUUCAUCAA
rnacentral:rRNA from 1 species